GUACACGCUGUGACUAGCAUAUCAAUAAGCGGAGGAAAAGAAACUAACAAGGAUUCCCCUAGUAACGGCGAGUGAAGCGGGAAGAGCUACAAAUUUGAAAUCUUAAGGGUUUCCCUUUACGAAUUGUAGUUUAAAGAAGUGUUUUCUGUUGAGGUUUUGGUAAAAGUUCUUUGGAAUAGGACAUCAUAGAGGGUGAGAAUCCCGUAUUUGACCUUUACUUUCAACUUUGUGAUACACUUUCAAAGAGUCGGAUUGUUUGGGAAUGCAGUCCAAAAUGGGUGGUAAAUUUCAUCUAAAGCUAAAUAUUGGCGAGAGACCGAUAGCGAACAAGUACCGUGAGGGAAAGAUGAAAAGAACUUUGAAAAGAGAGUUAAACAGUACGUGAAAUUGUCAAAAGGGAAGCGUUUGACACCAGUGUUGUUUUUCUGAAAAUCAAUUAAAGAACUGUUUAUGCUAAGUUGUUUAGACUUUAUCAGCUAACUGUUUAGUUUUGAGCUUUUCUUUAAUGCACUUUUCAGUUAACAAGUCAACAUCAAUUUCUUUUGCUGUAAAAAAGCUUGAGGAAGGUGGCUUGAGAUUCGUCUUAAGUGUUUAUAGCCUCUUGCCUAUGCAGUCGGAGAGAUUGAGGUCUGCAGCGUAGAUCCUUCGGGGCUAAACGCAUUUGUGCUAAGUUAUAGCAUUUUAUAGACAACUUGUUGACUACGAUUUGUCUUGUAGCUUACUCGCUUAUGUUAUUUUACCUACGCUUAGGAUGUUGAAGUCAUCAUAUCGCGC
rnacentral:rRNA from 1 species